GAUGAACGCUGACAGAAUGCUUAACACAUGCAAGUCGAUUCGAUUUACCUUCGGGUAUUGAGGAUGGCGGACGGGUGAGUAACGCGUAAGGAACUUGCCUCUUGGUCUGGGACAACUGUUGGAAACGACAGCUAAUACCGGAUAUUAUGAGAUUCUCGCAUGGGAAACUUAUGAAAGCUAUAUGCGCCAAGAGAGAGCCUUGCGUUCCAUUAGCUAGUUGGUGGGGUAACGGCCCACCAAGGCGACGAUGGAUAGCCGGCCUGAGAGGGUGAACGGCCACAAGGGGACUGAGACACGGCCCUUACUCCUACGGGAGGCAGCAGUGGGGAAUAUUGGACAAUGGGCCACAAGCCUGAUCCAGCAAUUCUGUGUGCACGAUGAAGGUCUUCGGAUUGUAAAGUGCUUUCAGUUGGGAAGAAGAAAGUGACGGUACCAACAGAAGAAGCGACGGCUAAAUACGUGCCAGCAGCCGCGGUAAUACGUAUGUCGCAAGCGUUAUCCGGAUUUAUUGGGCGUAAAGCGCGUCUAGGCGGAAAAAUAAGUCUGAUGUUAAAAUGCGGGGCUCAACUCCGUAUUGCGUUGGAAACUGUUUUUCUAGAGUACUGGAGAGGUGGG
rnacentral:rRNA from 1 species